AAAGUGAAAGUGGUUCACCCAGGGCGAGGCUCAGCCAUUGCACUCCGGCUGUGCUGACCCCUGCGAAUUCCCCAAAUGUGGGAAUCUCGACUGCAUAAUUUAUGGUAGUGGGGGACUGCGUCCGCGCUCUCCCCUG
rnacentral:snRNA from 1 species